GGUUAAGCGACUAAGCGUACACGGUGGAUGCCCUGGCAGUCAGAGGCGAUGAAGGGCGUGCUAAUCUGCGAUAAGCGCCGGUAAGGUGAUAUGAACCGUUAUAACCGGCGAUACCCGAAUGGGGAAACCCAGUGUGACUCGUCACACUAUCAUUAACUGAAUCCAUAGGUUAAUGAGGCGAACCGGGGGAACUGAAACAUCUAAGUACCCCGAGGAAAAGAAAUCAACCGAGAUUCCCCCAGUAGCGGCGAGCGAACGGGGAGGAGCCCAGAGCCUGAAUCAGCAUGUGUGUUAGUGGAAGCGUCUGGAAAGGCGCGCGAUACAGGGUGACAGCCCCGUACACAAAAGCGCAUGUGCUGUGAGCUCGAUGAGUAGGGCGGGACACGUGGUAUCCUGUCUGAAUAUGGGGGGACCAUCCUCCAAGGCUAAAUACUCCUGACUGACCGAUAGUGAACCAGUACCGUGAGGGAAAGGCGAAAAGAACCCCGGCGAGGGGAGUGAAAAAGAACCUGAAACCGUGUACGUACAAGCAGUGGGAGCACCCUUUGGGUGUGACUGCGUACCUUUUGUAUAAUGGGUCAGCGACUUAUAUUCUGUAGCAAGGUUAACCGAAUAGGGGAGC
rnacentral:rRNA from 3 species